UACGUAGGGUGCAAGCGUUGUCCGGAAUUAUUGGGCGUAAAGAGCUCGUAGGCGGUUUGUCGCGUCUGCUGUGAAAACUCGGGGCUCAACCCCGAGCUUGCAGUGGGUACGGGCAGACUAGAGUGCGGUAGGGGAGACUGGAAUUCCUGGUGUAGGCGGUGGAAUGCGCAGGAUAUCAGGAGGAACACCGGUGGCGAAGGCGGGUCUCUGGGCCGUAACUGACGCUGAGGAGCGAAAGCAUGGGGAGCGAACAGG
rnacentral:rRNA from 1 species